UCUACCUUGGUCCAGCGGCCAAACCACCUUCCGUGCAGACAAGAGCGGAAGCAGGCGGUUGGAGGUUCGAGUCCUCCAGGUGGCA